rnacentral:lncRNA from 1 species
CUGAAAUGUAGGCAAAUAAAUUACUGGAUCCCUUAUUGGAAUUUUCAAAAUAGGCCUCAAGCAGUCCAUGAUAUAUUAUUAAAAAACUUUAUUCCAAUAUACACAACAGUGAAGUUACAUAUGGGAGGAGUCAAAGACCAAAAUACAAAGCUGCCUUAUGCAAUUCAUGCUGAAAGGCACUUACUUAUGAGUAAGUAAUGAUGUAAAAGUGCUUCUUGGCAAGACAAUCAUAGAACCAUGUGACUGGUGCUCUGACAGAGUAUUGCAUUGCAAUCUUUUAUUACAGUCUAUAAAGAGGCCCUGGCUACUACAUAAAAGCUUUCUGUACCGUAUAGGAGGAAGGGAGGUGGGCCAGUAUAUUCAGUCUCUCUGAAGAGAUGCAGAAGAAUUGUAAGUAGCCCUGGCAAAAGUGAAGACUAAACCAGGAGUAAGGGGAAAGGUCAGCAAAGCUAAUUUUGUUUUGUUUUUUGGGUAGAGAGGAAAUGUUUAAAUAUGUGAUUGUAUCUUCAUUUAUAGAGAAAAAAAAUCGUAAUUGGUGGUACACCGGAAAAUGCAUUUUUCAGCAGUGUUGCUGCUGUAGAAACCAAAAUGUAUACAAAAUACAGAUUAAGGAAUAUUACACACACAAAAAUACUGUUUUACAUGUUCAAAGCUUUUUAUAAUCACCUAUCUCAGCAAACAAAAACAGGGUUCCAUUCCACCAUAUGGCCAUAUUGUGUUAAGCCCACCACUAUGCCACAGUACCCCAAUAUUGGUUGGUCCUACACUAAUUCCAAACAUGGGAGACAAAUUUAAUAGUGCUGGAUGGACUAGUGUAUUUCAUUAAUCUGUUGUAAGAGCACUUUGGAUCUAUAUAAUGCAAAAUAAAUGUGAUAAAAAGCACAAUUAAAAAAAUACAGUGUCGAAACAAAAUCAUUAAAGUGAUGGUUCAUUGAUGUAUAUACUCACAACACUUAUCACAUCAUAUCUGCUCUAUAGCCAGAUUAUUAUUACAGUGACAUUGCUAUUUAAAGCCUCCUCUAAUUUAUACUUCCUUGUGGUUGCUUCCAAAGGGACAUCAUAAGGGCACAGCAGGGUAAUAUGAGUGUAGGACCCACUGAUAUUGAGAGCUGUGGAGUAGUGUUGGAUUUAACACGAUAUGACCAUAUGGGUGGACUGAAUCUCUAUGUUUGUUUGCUAAGAUAGGUGAUUUUAAGUAGCAUUGUAAAUCUUAAAACAAUACUACUUAAUCUGUAUUUUGAUUCUGCAUAAUUAUAAAUGUGAUUUUUUUUUCCAUCAGUAAAUUUAUAAUUAAAAUUGUAAAUUCCCAUAGACCUGCUAACUCAUGCACAUACAUGUACACGCUCACGGCAUUUUGUGUAAAAUUUACGACGACGUUAGAAAACAACUUUCAUUCUUGUUAAUAUUGUAAUUUUCAAAUCCAUUUUACUAAAUUCACCAUAAAGGUCCAGGUCAUUUUUAUGUAGCAAAUUAAUUAGAAUUUUUGUUUUUUUUAUUUAAAUUCAAGAAUGCUAAUAAUAUCUAAGAAAUAUAAACAAACAUUUUUAAAAAUUGCUGCUAUAUAAGACAUUUAAUGUUUUGACAUACAACUGCAUGAUUACAAGAAUGCAAUGUAAAUUAAUGUACAUGGUAGUCUAAAAUUUUCACAUUGGUGUUAUGAGGACCAAGGUUUUUUUUUUUAUAUAUGGAACAAGAUGAUUUUUAAUUACAGAAGGACAUGUGUACUGUACAGAAUUAUUUUUAUUUGUGUAUGUAUGUAUACUUUCAUAUACAUAUAAUCACAUGUGUAUAUAUAUAUAUAUAUAUAUAUUUAUUCCUUUGGUUUAUUUUGUUAUAUCUCCAAAUGAAAUAUUUGACCACUAUUAAAAAUUUGGAUUAGAAUAUACCAUAAUACACAAGACAUAAUGGGAUUAAAUAUAACAAAAUAUAGAAGAAUUACCCUGCUUAAGUAUGCUUAUAUAGUAUUUAAAUUUUAACUAUGGUGUCUUUGUGAAUCGUAUGCAAAUGGAAAAAACACCAACAUUUUACUUUCAUAAUUUAAUAUAAAAUAACAAAUAUAUAUUGUGCUCUAAUAUGCCCAUUUGCUUCUAUUAGUUUCUAAAAAAAAAAGAAAAAGAAAGCAAUUUAAAUAUUCUGACGUAUUUAUUGAACCUUGGCGGUUAGCUGAUUUAAAGGAAUCCACCAUAAAAAUCCGUCAUAUUCAUAAUUUUGUAUUCUAUUUGCUGUUUUAUUGAAAUUACAUUAGCUUUUUUUUCUCCUGGAAAAUAUGAAUCCUUUAGGCUUCCCCAAACUGAUUCUAUGAAUGAAAUAGGCUGAGAAUCAUGGGAGUUGUAGUUCAGCAACAUCUGGAGGGCUGGAGUUUGGGGAAGCCUGCUCUAGGGUAUAUGCCUUAUCUCAGGAAGUAUAUUACAAAAGAUAGGACUGGGCACUGGUAUGAGGUCCAAGGCAAGUUUUAUUAGACAGGACACAAUCAGGUUUUGGCUCAAAAAGUGCCUUUUUGAUCUCGGGGUUCAAGGUUUUAGAAAGGGUAUAAAAAGAUGAUCAGCUGAGGUAAGUAUUAGCAGAACCAUGUACUUUAACCAUGAUAUAAGAAGCAGUCAGAUUGAUUUUAAAUUAAAAAAAAAAACAAUUAACUCCUUUAGUGAGAAAUAUAAAUUCCCCAUUUGUUUUAUUUUCAUAGAUUCCCUCCCAAUUUUAAAGGAACACUAUAGGGUCAGGAACACAACGAUGAAUUCCUGACCCUAUAGUGUUAUAAACAGUAUCUAGGUUUCUGACCCCAACUUGCCCCUCCCUAAUUAAAGUUAAAAAAAAAAACCAUUUAUUCCAGUCCCGCACAGGUCUGGAUCCUACUCUUGAUUUGCCUCCUUGGCUGAGAUCAUCAGAAUUGACAAUUUCUGGCUGAGAUUGUCAAUUCUGAUGACCUCAGCCAAGGAGGCAGGAUGGGGGUGGAGUCAAACGAUGCCCUGGUCAAUGAGCAUCUCCUCAUAGAGAUGCAUUGAAUCUAUGCAUCUAUAUAGGGACUGUUCAGCAUUUCAUUGCAGAGCACCAUCCCAGGAAGCACCUCUAGUGACUGUCUGAGUGACUGACACUGUAGGUGUUCCAAUUAGCAUCUCCUCAUAAAGAUGCAUUGAAUCAAUGCAUCUCUAUGAGGAAAAUUUAGCUUCUCCAUGCAGAGCAUAGAGACACCGAAUGGCAGUGCUGCCUACUGUGCAGCACUGCCCCAGAAAGCACCUCCAGUGGCCACUGGAGGUGUCCCCAGGGGGCAAUGUAAACACUGCCUUUUUUCUGAAAAGGCGGUGUUCACAUGAAAGUGCCAGCAGGGACUGACAUUACUCACCAGAAAACAACAUUAAUCUGUAGUUGUUCUGGUGACAAUAGUGUCCCUUUAAAUUGAAAAGGUUUGUGCAAAAACUGGAGGUUAAUCUGGUACCCUGCGCUCAUAGUACAUCUUUUUUUCUGCCAGUAUCUACAAAAAAUUGUGUAUUAUAUUGAAGAUAAGUUCAAAAGAAAUAUUAGUGAUUCAUUAUAAAAAAAAUUCAGUAAAAUUAACCAAAAUUAUUUUUAAAAUUUACUUUAUCUUUAAAAUGUUUUGUUUACAUACUUAAUGUAAAUAAAUUCUGAGCUACAGUUCAUAUUGUUAAUUUAAAAACUAAUUUUGAGCUGCAGCUAGUCUACCAGUAGAUGUCAGCAAUAAUACAUGUAUAAUGCAACAAUGUUUAGAAGAUAUUUUUCUAUACGUCUCCGGGCAUUGUUGUUUUUCUACAAGAAAAUCACAUAAACACAGCACAAAUAGAAGCAAAUCAGGCUUCUAAUUUGUUUUUAUAAAAGAAUAAAAGUGGCACUUAAAUUUGUUUUAAUACUGGACUAAACCAAUUUCAUAAUACAUUUUAUGAUAUAAAAUGUGUUUUUUUCCAUGAUAUAUUCCCUUGAAAAGACUUUAUAAUUUUACAAUUUUUUAUUACAUUUUGAAAAAUUUGAAAAUAAUAUUUAUUU